rnacentral:lncRNA from 1 species
CAAUAUUAUUCCUUGGGGAUGAUGUGAACAAAACACUCCAGUAUAAUUGACAAAAUAUCAACAGGAAAAGCGGAAAAAAAUUACGAAAGAUUAGAAAGUGCCAUCUAUGCAUGUUAGGUAAUGUAAUUACGUCAAGGAAAACAAUUUGGGAGAUUAUGGAAUCAUCGUUCUUCUAAGAUAUCGAGAGGGAAGUGAUGCAGCUUAGAGUUGGUCAUUAAAGCAACUUUGACCAUAUUAAAAUGUGCUAGUCUGGCUGAUUGUGUUCACAUGGAUUCAUCUUAUUUAAUAAAGUGUAAUUCUAUCAUCAAAUAAAUGGUUCAGGAAGGGAGAUACCUUUCUCUCUAACAUAUUAUAACCUUCCAUUGAAUAAGAAAGCAUAGAGAUUCAAAUAGUUCAUCUUAAUAAGAAGCAUAUAAUAAAACAAAUAUUAACUUACAAUAGGGCAAUUGACUUCUCUCA